UAGGGAAUCUUCGGCAAUGGGGGCAACCCUGACCGAGCAACGCCGCGUGAGUGAAGAAGGUUUUCGGAUCGUAAAGCUCUGUUGUAAGUCAAGAACGAGUGUGAGAGUGGAAAGUUCACACUGUGACGGUAGCUUACCAGAAAGGGACGGCUAACUACGUGCCAGCAGCCGCGGUAAUACGUAGGUCCCGAGCGUUGUCCGGAUUUAUUGGGCGUAAAGCGAGCGCAGGCGGUUUGAUAAGUCUGAAGUUAAAGGCUGUGGCUCAACCAUAGUUCGCUUUGGAAACUGUCAAACUUGAGUGCAGAAGGGGAGAGUGGAAUUCCAUGUGUAGCGGUGAAAUGCGUAGAUAUAUGGAGGAACACCGGUGGCGAAAGCGGCUCUCUGGUCUGUAACUGACGCUGAGGCUCGAAAGCGUGAGGAGCGAACAGGAUUAGAUACCCUGGUAGUCCACGCCGUAAACGAUGAGUGCUAGGUGUUGGAUCCUUUCCGGGAUUCAGUGCCGCAGCUAACGCAUUAAGCACUCCGCCUGGGGAGUACGACCGCAAGGUUG
rnacentral:rRNA from 1 species